rnacentral:tmRNA from 1 species
AAUUUAGGCAAAGAUAAGCAUGUAGAAAGCUUAUGAUUUCCUCGUUUGGACGAGGGUUCGAUUCCCUCCAGCUCCACAA